UAAUUCUUCAAUAUGCUUGUGACUAUUGAUUGCAGAGAAUCCUAAAGUGGUCGUGGUGUUAGUGGUGCAUAUAGCAAAUACUGGGGUUGAAUAUGAGAGUGAAAGAGAUUAUUCAAGAUCUACAUUCAAGCUUAUAUGUAUUCUAGAAGAAGGGGGACAGACAGUAAACUAAAGCUAUAAUAUAAUUUCAGAUAGUAAUAAAUGCUAUGAGAAAAAUAAAACAUAGUCAUUUGAUAAUAGUGACCUGGGGGGAGGUUCACGUUCUGGGGCCUGGGGAUGACAUCUCCUGAUUGAGCUGAGAUCUGAAUUAUUAGAAGGAGCCUUUUGUGGAAGAUUUGGGUGGAAGAUUAUGCUAGGCAGAAAGAAAAGCAAUUUCAAAGACUCUGAGUUUUGAAGGAGUUUGGUGGACUUGAAGAAGAUAAAAAAGACCAGGCAGUGUGGCCAAAAUAGGGGUGGCAGGAUAUAGUGAGGUUAGAGAACUAGCUUGGGAUAGAUCAUAGAAGCCCAUUUAGGAAAGAAGAAGAUGUUCGCAAUUGAUUCCAAGUGCAAAGAGAAGCCAUUGGGAAGAAUGAGGUGAGUUCAUGAGCUGUGGAAGGGAGUGGUUUUUGGAGAUAUGAAGAGAAAGGAGAUCUGAAACUUGAACCAAAGAAUGGAAAGUAUAGAAGGAUUCCUGGGCACUGUGGUGUCAGGGUCCAAGGUUAUGGCAUUAAACAUGGAUGAAUGAGGUUGGAUUUGAGGAAGAAUCUAAGAACCGAGAAGACAAGGGAUUAAGAAAACCAGUUCUUUUCAUAAAAUGCUUGCUGGGGAAAAUAUUUACAAACUGUCCAUCUGACAAGGGAUUAAUAAUGAGCAUAUAUAAGGAGGUGAAACAACUCUACAAGAAAAAAUGUAGUAAUCCAGCUGAAAAUGGACAAAUGAUAUCAAUAGACAUUUCUCAAAAGAAGACAUACAAAUGGCAAGCAGGCAUAUGAAAAGGUGAUUAACAUCAUUGAUCUCCAGAGAAAUGCAAAUCAAAGCUACAAUGACAUAUCAUCUCAUUCCAGUUAAACUGGCUUUUAUUCAAAAGACAAGUGAUUACAAGUGUUGGUGAGGGUGUGAAGAAAAGGUAACCCUGGAACACUGUUGAUGGGAAUGUAAACUGGUACAACCACUAUGGAGGACAGUUUGAAAGUUCCUCAAAAAAACAAACAAACAAAAAAAUAGAGCUACCAUAUGAUCCAGCAAUCCCACUUCUAAAUGCAUACCCAAAAGAAAGAAAAUCAGUAUAUUGAAGAGACAUCUGUGCUUUCAUGUUUGUUGCAGUACUAUUCACAAGAGCCAAGAUUUGUAAGCAAUCCAAGUGUUUGUCAGCAGGUGAAUGAAUAAAGAAAAUGUGGUGCAUAUACACAAUGGAGUACUAUUUAGCCCUAAACAAAGAAUGAGAUCCUAUCAUUUGCAAAAACACGGAUUGAACUGGUUGUGAUUUUAUUAAGUGAAAUAAACCAGGCACAAAAAGACAAACUUGUCAUGUUCUCACUUAUUUGUGGGAGCUAAAAAUUAAAAUAAUUGAA
rnacentral:lncRNA from 10 species